rnacentral:rRNA from 1 species
AUUGAACGCUGGCGGCAGGCCUAACACAUGCAAGUCGAGCGGAUGAACGGUGCUUUCUCCUGGUUUCAGCGGCGGACGGGUGUGUAAUGCCUAUGAAUCUGCCUGGUUUUUGUUUAUUACGUCUUCUAACGGCCGCUACUACCGCAUACGUCCUGCUGUUGCAAGUGGGGGUUCUUCGGACCUCUCGCUCUCAUAUGAGCCUAGGUCGGAUUAGCUAGUUGGUGGGGUAAAGUCCUACCAAGGCGACGAUCCGUAACUGGUCUGAGAGGAUGAUCAGUCACACGGGAACUGAGACACGGACCAGAGUCCUACGGGAGGCAGCAGUGGGGAAUAUGGGACAAUGGGCGAAAGCCUGAUACAGCAAGGCGGGGUGUGUGAAGAAGGAGUUCGGAUUGGAAAGCAAGUUAAGUGGGGAGGAAGGGAAGUAAGUUAAUACAAAGCGGGAUUGACGGUAACAAAAGAAUAAGCACCGGCUAACUACGUG